GAUGAACGCUGGCGGCGUGCCUAAUACAUGCAAGUCGAGCGAACAGACGAGGAGCUUGCUCCUCUGACGUUAGCGGCGGACGGGUGAGUAACACGUGGAUAACCUACCUAUAAGACUGGGAUAACUUCGGGAAACCGGAGCUAAUACCGGAUAAUAUAUUGAACCGCAUGGUUCAAUAGUGAAAGACGGUUUUGCUGUCACUUAUAGAUGGAUCCGCGCCGCAUUAGCUAGUUGGUAAGGUAACGGCUUACCAAGGCAACGAUGGGUAGCCGACCUGAGAGGGGGGUCGGCCACACGGGAGCCGGACCGCGGUCCUGGCGCCUGCGGGAGGGAGCAGUGUGGUAUCUUCGGCAAUGGUCGGAAGCCUUACCGAGCGGCGCCUAGUGAGGGAUAAAGGUCCUCGGAUCGUAAAACUGUCUUACGGGGUAAAAACAAAUGUGUGCUUGGCUAUGCACGUCUUGACGGUACCUAAUCAAACAGCCACGGCUAACUACGUG
rnacentral:rRNA from 1 species